UGUUCUAGGAAAACGAAAUAAAAUCGCUGUGUUGACCAUUAAGUGGCGUUGCCGGUAUGCUGGCGUUUAGCGCGGCUAUGGCUCGUCGGAUUGGGGGUUGGUUCUUGCCACUUGCAGAUCUUUUCGGUUGAACAAACAAAUAAAAUCAUACCGGACUUCAAACUAAAUCAAAAAGGGGGUAAAAGGAAGCCUGAAACAUGUCAACAAAAAAUUAAAAAGAAAACGUUCACCUAACUACAACCAAAUCCCAAAAUAACAUUAGUUUUUUUUUCACAGAAACAGUGCUCCUGGCGGCUGACCAGCCAGGAGAUAGCCCUCCCUCCGAGAACACCUCUCGCCAUGACGUCUACUCAUACUGGACGUCCCAGAUCUGACCCUUGACUUACCGCAUUUUAUACCAUUACCACCACCUUUUAAAAAGGGCUUUAAGCCAAGGACAUAUUUGUCUUUUCUAUAUAAAAUUGGUACAUUUUAUUUAAACUAUUUAAAUACCCAAAUAACAAUUCGUAAAAAAAUUACAUGCUAACUUUAAUGUUUGCGUUCAAAUUUAACAAUGAAUUCAAUUCAAUGAAUUAAAACAAUUUUGCCAAAAAUUACAAAAAAAUUCUCCUUUUUCUUCUUUUAGACUGCGCUUUCUGAUGACAAAAAUUAGGGUGCAAUAAAGGCAGCUUGCAAUUGUGGUUCUUCCCAACAAGUAUGUACGAAAGGCAAACAAAGGUGGAGUGUCGAUAGCACUUAAAAUCGACGAACGGAUUAAAAGCCUGGUUAUCUAACUUUGAAUAGAGCUCUGUUCAACGUCGUGUACCUGCAGACUAACCAAAAGAAAAAAACCGCGGAAUUUAAUUAUGAUGCUUCGUCGUCCGUCUGUCUGUCCGAGGUUUCGUGUAUUAAAUGUCGAUUGGGAAUACCAAGCCACGCUGGGUUAGCAAUGGCGCAAAAUCAGCGGCUCCCUCGAUGGAUUGGAUGGGCGAUGGUGUGGCUUGUAGGCUCCAAUUCUUCAGGAAUUUUUAGGUUUAAGAUUUAUUUUCUUGGUUUAGAUUUUCAGUUAAUUGUUUUGGUUUUUCUUUUCAAUUUUGUUAAAUUGUUUCCAAAUUUGGUUUAAUUUAAAAAAAAGUUCAAUUUUUCUUUUAAUUUUCAAUUUUUGUGAAAAACUAUUUGUUUUGUUAUAAGUUUUCUUUCAACUUUUAGCCUUUUGUUGUUAAAUGUUGUUAAAUUAUUUUAAGGCUUCCAAUUUUGUAAAAAAAAGUUUGUAUUUCGUGUUGUUUGUAUAUAUGUUUCAAACAAAUAAAAACAUUGAAUUCACUUCUUAACAAGUGGUUCAUCACCAAAAACUUUGUCGGCUUUUUUCUUCGCUGGUUACAGGGAGCCACACAUCCAAUCUUCUUCGCAGGCAAAAUCAAAAAGGAAAGAUUUUUCUUACAAUUUUUGCCAGGAAAUUCUGGCUGCCAUUUUCCUCGCUUAAUUUUUCCAUUUUCUUUUUAUAUUAUUCCCUAAUAUUGACAUUUAAGUAAUUGGAAUAAUCAGCUGUCUCCUAGUAAUGGUUGGCAACAUUUUUCUUCUUCUUCUUCUUCUAGCUAUCAAUUAUUUUCAGGGUUACCCCUUUU